rnacentral:rRNA from 1 species
UUACUGGGCGUAAAGCGCGCGUAGGUGGUUUAUUAAGUUGGGUGUGAAAGCCCCGGGCUCAACCUGGGAACUGCAUCCAAAACUGAUUCACUAGAGUACGAAAGAGGAAAGUAGAAUUCACAGUGUAGCGGUGGAAUGCGUAGAUAUUGUGAAGAAUACCGAUGGCGAAGGCAGCUUUCUGGUUCUGUACUGACACUGAGGUGCGAAAGCGUGGGUAGCGAACAGGAUUAGAUACCCUGGUAGUCCACGCCGUAAACGAUGACAACUAGCUGUUGGAAAGCUAUGCUUUUCAGUGGCGCAGCUAACGUCUUAAGUUGUCCGCCUGGGGAGUACGGCCGCAAGGUUAAAACUCAAAUGAAUUGACGGGGACCCGCACAAGCGGUGGAGCAUGUGGUUUAAUUCGAUGCAACGCGAAAAACCUUACCUACACUUGACAUACUUGGAAUCUUUUGUAAUGAAAGAGUGCCUUUUGGAGCCAAGAUACAGGUGCUGCAUGGCUGUCGUCAGCUCGUGUCGUGAGAUGUUGGGUUAAGUCCCAUAACGAGCGCAACCCUUACCCUUAUUUGCCAGCGAUUCGGUCGGGAACUAUAAGGGGACUGCCGGUGAUAAACCGGAGGAAGGUGAGGACGACGUCAAGUCAUCAUGGCCCUUACGUGUAGGGCUACACACGUGCUACGAUGGGGAGUACAGAUAGACGCUAAAGCGCGAGCUGGUGCUAAUCUCAUAAAACUCUUCGUAGUCCGGAUUGCAGUCUGCAACUCGACUGCAUGAAGUCGGAAUCGCUAGUAAUCGCGAAUCAGCAUGUCGCGGUGAAUACGUUCUCGGGUCUUGUACACACCGCCCGUCACACCAUGGGAGUGUAUUGCACCAGAAGUGGGUAGUCUAACCUUCGGGAGGGCGCUCACCACGGUGUGGUCCAUGACUGGGGUGAAGUCGUA